rnacentral:rRNA from 1 species
AACGAACGCUGGCGGCAGGCCUAGCACAUGCAAGUCGAACGAACCUUCGGGUGAGUGGCGCACGGGUGCGUAACGCGUGGGAAUAUACCCUUGGGUACGGAACAACGUCUGGAAACGGGCGCUAAUACCGUAUAAUGACUUCGGUCCAAAGAUUCAUCGCCCAAGGAUUAGCCCGCGUCUGAUUAGGUAGUUGGUGGGGUAAAAGCCUACCAAGCCGACGAUCAGUAGGGGGUCUGAGAGGAUGAUCCCCCACACUGGGACUGAGACACGGCCCAG